AUACAGAGGGUGCGAGCGUUAAUCGGAAUUACUGGGCGUAAAGCGCGCGUAGGCGGCUUAUUAAGUCAGAUGUGAAAUCCCCGGGCUCAACCUGGGAACUGCAUCUGAUACUGGUAAGCUAGAGUUUUGGAGAGGGAAGUAGAAUUUCAGGUGUAGCGGUGAAAUGCAUAGAGAUCUGAAGGAAUACCAGUGGCGAAGGCGACUUCCUGGCCAAAAACUGACGCUGAGGUGCGAAAGCGUGGGUAGCAAACGGGAUUAGAAACCCGGGUAGUCC
rnacentral:rRNA from 1 species